rnacentral:rRNA from 1 species
GUGCCAGCCGCCGCGGUAACACCGGCAGCCCAAGUGGUGGCCGCUUUUAUUGGGCCUAAAGCGUCCGUAGCCGGCCAGGUAAGUCCCUGUGUAAAUCUUCAGGCUUAACUUGAAGAAUUGCGGGGAUACUGCUUGGCUUGGGGCCGGAAGACGUGGAGGGUACUCCGGGGGUAGCGGUGAAAUGCUGUAAUCCUCGGGGGACCACCAGUGGCGAAGGCUCUCCACGAGGACGGGCCCGACGGUGAGGGACGAAAGCCAGGGGCGCGAACGGGAUUAGAUACCCCGGUAGUCCUGGCCGUAAACGCUGCAGGCUUGGUGUUGCACGCUCUACGGGGGCGUGCAGUGCCGAAGCGAAGGCGAUAAGCCUGCCGCCUGGGAAGUACGCUCGCAAGAAUGAAACUUAAAGGAAUUGACGG